rnacentral:misc_RNA from 1 species
AAGUCGUAACAAGGUUUCCGUAGGUGAACCUGCGGAAGGAUCAUUACCGUAAACUCUUACGAGCAAGCUUUCGAGUCAUGCGAGUGCUCGACGCUGCGAGUUUAAAGCAUUCAAUGGGCCUUGCAGUUUAGCUCAAAUGACGAAGAAAGACGAGGUUGCAUGCACCAGUUCUUAAUCUUAUGUAAGUGCUAUCGCGUGCAACCUAGUACGAAAUGCCAUUGUUGCAUACGCGUACGCCAACGAAAAGUUUAAUUUUGUCGAGACAGUAUUGGGUAGUGAAGUUACAGCUUUAAAGGUAUUCGCCCAUCUGUUUCUGUUUUGAUUAAACUUUCAAGCAGUUCCUUAGCUGGAACUCAUGCUAAACGAAUGAAAUGAAUAAUUGAAAUAAAAUAAAAACAAAAAAAUAUUAACCUCGAGUGGUGGAUCACUCGGCUCGUGG